CCCCGCCCCGCUCCAAAAAGGGGCGGGCGGCUGGGUGCAGCCAUGGUAAAAAGAGGUGAAGUGACCAAAGGCAUCAUCCCGGGGGCGGCAGAAGACAGAGCAGCCUUCUCCGUAGUAGUGCUCGUCGCACACAAAGCGAUAGGAGUACUUGAGUUACCUGUAGUGAGGUCAUCAGGAGAGUCUGUAUGCAGCGCCUCAAUGAUGAGCGAGAAGGUGCCCUGGAGAAAGAAGAAGCAGAGACAACCCAUCGGGAGAGCGUGAGAGCAGCUUCAGCUCGAAGACCCCGGAGCAGCCGACCUGCGGGGCGGGGAUAGCGGCCGUCAGCCCGCCGAGCCGCCCGCUCCCCCGGCCCGACCCCAGCCCCCGGCGGGCACCGGCGGCACCGGCACCCCCCCCCCCCCUUCUCCCGGCUGCCACAGGCGGCACCGGCCCUCGGCACCCCCGCGGGACCCCCCGGUGCGGGGCCCACCGCAGGUAUUUCGGCCCCCCACCCCGCGGGCACUUACCUGGCAGCGGCUCAGCAGCACCGAGAGGAGGGCGAGCGCCAGCAGGAACCGACCUCCCAUUUUGGAGGGGCAGCUCUGGUGCCCUCGCUUUCCUCCCCCUUGCCUUCCCGUCAGAGGGGAAAGGGGAAAGUGUCUCUCGGGGAAAGGGAAAAAGACAGCGGCCAAAACCGCUCGCCCCAGCAGAGCUGGAAGAGUUAGUGUCACGGUCUCCUUCUUUCAGGAGUGUCCCUGACUUUUUUUUUUCCCCCCUCUGUCGGUACCUCUAGGUGUAGCCUGUCGGCGACUGACAGCUCUUUCGGAUGGCAAAAGAAAAAGAAAGGGAGGGAGGGGGGAAAAAUGGUUAAGAUUAAUCUGCUAAACUCUUUUUCUUUCCCAAUCCACGGUGCUCCUCCUUUUCUCCAGGAAGAAAAAAAUAAAAAUUAAAAAAAAAAAAAAUUUAAAAAGCAACUUAAUUCCCAACGGAGGCAGAGAAAAGGCUUCCCAAGGAAGAUUAAGAACCGGCGAUCUGGAAAUCCCUGCAGAGGCAGCGGCGGACGCGGCGAUAAUUCCCGGUGCGGUGAGAUGCGGGAGCGGCCCUGCGCGGCUCUGCGCGGCUCUGCGCGGCUGCGCUCGCCCUGCGCACGUCGGGGCGGGCGGGUGUCAAACGGCAGCGGCGGCGGGCAGGUCACGUCGGAGCCUUGAUCCCCUUUUUUUUUUUUCCUUUUCUUUUUUUUUUUUUUUUUUCAGAAGAAGCGAAGCUCUCUUUCCUUGUUGCGGGCUUACUUUUGUUUUCAGAGGAAUCCCAGCCAACAAAAAUAAGCUCGUGUCUCAAUAGCGGCGCACUGAGCGUGUCCGGGUGUGCUGCUACGGGGGCGGGGGGUGCCUGCUCUGCCCUGCCCUGCUCUGCCCUGCUCGGCCCUGCUCUGCCCUGCACCGCGGCUCGGCUGGGCUCGGCGGCUCUCUCCGAGGGUGAAGCGCUAAGGAUCUGCCUCUCCUUGGGCGCCUGCCUCCCUUAUAUCCCGCCGGCCGCCUGCAUGCCUAAUGAUAUGCAAAUGAGCAGCCCCCCAAUCUGGCUAGAGCUGUCACAAAGGAGCCACUUUUCCAAACCCUCCUCUCAAUGGAUCGCCAAAUGGUCAGUGAGCUGUAAAAUGUGCAACCCUCCUCCCCCUCCCCUCCGCGCUCACAAAACGUGCUCAUUUACAUUCCUGCAAAUUUGGUAACCGCAAGAAUCCCCCUUCUGCUCCGGGGAGACGGUAACACCCCCUCCGCACCGGAGAGAGGCAGAGCAACACGCUCCGGCGAGAAAACAACCCCGGGGACGGCGGGCUGUAAUUACCUCUGGCAACGUGCAAAGCGACCGCCGUGCCCCCAAAAAAAUGACUCGGUGCUCCCGACCGCUUCCAAGGGGCACCGUCGGCUUUAAAGGGACGAGGGAGGUGGGAGCCAGCGCGCCGCAACGAGGGGAAUCUGAUCCCUGGAAAUUCACACCGCGUUUCCCCUGGCACUAAGCGGGAUAAUUGGGGAGGGGUAGCGGGGGGCAAUGAAUUUGCGCGACCCGAGCCGGGGCUGGCUCUUCCCUUGGCUCGUCCCGUCGGCGGAGGGAGAGGGGGUCCCCGGGGGGUCCCGGCGGCGGCGGAGGGUGCGGGCGGGUGGUUCGCGGAGGGGACCCACGGAGGGCACCCGUGUGGGGGGACCCGUGAAGGGGACCCGCCUGCGGGGCUCCGCGGGUCCCGUCCGCGCCACCACCGCUGCCGGAGAGAGCCACCCGCUCCGCCCGGGUCCCGCACCCCUCUAUGAUUAUUAUCAUCAUCACCGGCAACCUCUCCCUCUCUCUCUCUCUCUCUCUCUCUUUUUUUUUUUCCUCCUUCAGCUUAGUAAAAAGUGAGUUUGGUGUG